rnacentral:misc_RNA from 1 species
GCCGCGGUUUUGAAAGACAUAGGUAUAGAGUUAGAUAACUAUGAGGAUCAAAUAGAUGCUUUUAAAGAGGAGGAGAAGUUGAGGGCAGUUAUUGCAGAAGCCAACUAUAAAGCACACGUAGAAAAAAUUAACAAUAGGAAUGCUCCUCAAACGGAAGAGGAAAUUCAGGAGUAUGCCAUGGAGGCAAUUUCAAACUCUGAUAGGAAUUGUGAAUGGGAGGGGGCCCAGGAUGGACCUGUGGUACCCGUAACCCAAAAAGGUAAGAGGAAAGGGAGACCGACAAAACCUUCAAAUAUUAUUAAUGAGGUUUCUUAGCUGGAACAUUAGAGGUAUGGGGAACAAAGAGAGAAUCAAUCAACUGAGGGGGUAUAUAUCUCAGGAAAAAAUAGAUAUAAUUGGGAUUCAGGAAACUAUAAAACAAGAUUUCA